rnacentral:rRNA from 1 species
GGAUUAGAUACCCUGGUAGUCUACGCCGUAAACGAUGGUUACUAGCUGUUCGGCUCGAUUGAGAGCUGAGUGGUUAAGCGAAAGUGAUAAGUAACCCACCUGGGGAGUACGUUCGCAAGAAUGAAACUCAAAGGAAUUGACGGGGGCCCGCACAAGCGGUGGAGCAUGUGGUUUAAUUCGAUGAUACGCGAGGAACCUUACCAGGGCUUAAAUGCAGUUGGACAGGUCUGGAAACAGACCCUUCUUCGGACUAAUUGCAAGGUGCUGCAUGGUUGUCGUCAGCUCGUGCCG